GCAGCGGGAGGAUGCCGGGGCCGAGGGGCGAGCCCGGGUGCCCGCAGGGUGGGGGACGGGGAAGUUUUGUCUGCUGGCCCGCAGCCAAGGCGGUGGAGGGGGCACAGGGCUGGGGGUGCCGGGCUGUAAGUCACCAGGAGGCAGCGACCCGUGGGGCGGAAUCCAGUUAAUCGGGACAAUUCCCACCCCAGGUUAAACACUGAAGCAGGGGUCCUUUGUCUGAGUGCUGUAACAGGCAGCAGUUCAUCCAAUCCACACGUGACAGAGGAAGGCAAGUCUGAGGUGACCAGGGCUGACCCCAAACCCCUGGUUACUCUAUUCAGUGCUAGAUGGCCAAUGUUCUUCCUCGAGCAGCAAUCCAGUGCCACUUGCCUCACUACUGCCAUAACAGCCUGCUGUCUGAGGAAGACAGGAGUGAGAAGAGGGACAUGAGCAGAACUUGACAUGUAUCCUGAAGAGGCUCAUUUUUUCUGUGUAAAAGUCGAGCUCCUCACAGGUUAUCACAUACACUCUUGGAGAGGCUGUGCCAGCUGACUGAAUUUUGCAGUAUAUCUGACACACGGCUUCAAAAAAUACCAUUGACAAGAACUCAGAGAGGAUGAGUGUUUGUCCUCCUGCCCCACUUGUGGUCACCAUUCUGCACAAAACGUGAGGGAGAAAUGUAAGAGAGUAUGUAUAGACUUGUUAGAAUUUAAAUGAUCGUCUCUGCAAGAUGAGAAGGAAAAGCUCAGAUCAGACAUAUGGGGAGACAGCUUAACAGCUCGCCAUUCAGAACAAAUCUGUGCGCUAUUUGAAAUUCUGGGGUUGUUUGCCUCUGACACAAGAACGCUAUGCAGAUAAAACAGCUAUGAUGUGACCUUUCCAUAAUGAAAUGUAUAGAGAUGCUUUGAUUUCAGUUCUCUUUGAGGAAAGAGGAUCGUGUUGUUCACUUCUGAGUCAAAGGUGAAGCCCCACUUCUCAAAGGAAGUCAGGCCUGGCAGAUCUGAGCAAGUUCUUCAAAUCGCUCAGCCUGAGGUCCAUCAGGUCCAAGCCAGACAUCUUUUGUGGUGGGCAGACCUUGAAAUGUCUGGGUAUUCAAUUCACAUCAAAUUUUCAGGCUAAAUUCUCAAUGUCACUAUUUGAAAACUGACUCUCUCUUUCUGCUAUCCCAUGACUAAUGCAAAGAAAAGAUGACAGGUUUGAUUUUUUUUUUUUAAUACAAACGUAUUUGUGAAAUUGAGAUAAAUAUAAUUUUCUCUCUGAAUGGCUAACCACGUCAUGGAGCUAGAGACACAUUCACACGCAGCACUUUGAGGGAUCUGCACUGUAUUAUGUCACCUUGCCAUGCAUUAUAAUCAACAUUUGACAAAUUCAACAGCAUUUUACUCACGAUGAAAAAAAAAAUAUUAUGCAGAGAAUGCUCAAGAUCUUUACAGAAUAAUAGAAUAAUUCUGAUUGGAAAGGGCUUCUAAUGAUCAUGUGCUCCAACUUCUUUGUCAAAGAAGGGCCAACUUUAAAAUUAUAUCCCAUUGUCCAGAAUCUUGUCCAGUUGAGUUUUCUGUGUAACCAAGGUUGCAGAUACCACGGCUUUUCUGGGCACUUUUUAAAGAACUGUAACAAAGUUCACUUUAAAAAAUUGAAAAGUUUGCAGGAUCCAUGUGGCUCCGAGGACUUUGGCUCUGUCUUUUGGGUAUAUGGGAUGCUUGAGCAGAGGGCAUAUUGUGUGGAGUGGUUGGACCAGUGAAUGUGCUUUGAGUCAACAUGUUUCCACAUUUUCUGAUGAAAAUAAAUGUCUGGGACAGGCCCUUCUUUGUUUCUAUUACAGAAUAUGCAACUCCUGUCUCAUAAAAGGCACCAGACUAUGCAAGCCAUUGGAUAUAUUCGUGUUUCCUAAAGGAUUAUGGAAUUUAUUUUAUAAUUUAUUAAUUAAUAAAAAUAUAUAUUUAUUUCAGUGUGA